UUAACUUAUUCAAAGAUUUGCGGCACGGGGCCAGAUCAGACAGCUGAUUUAAUGAUUCAAUUUAGAUUAGCCCUUUCCCAGGGACCUGCAUAGUGAGGUUGACUCUGCUAGCUGGAAGGAUUAAAUGGUUACAGGAACCAAUUCCCUGGGAAAGCAACAUGGAUGAGUACGCAGAGAGGGUUUAGAUCAGGGAACACUUUGGUAUCCCAGAUAUAUUUAAUGAUCCUUCCGCAGGUUCACCUACGGAAA
rnacentral:misc_RNA from 1 species